rnacentral:rRNA from 1 species
AAUAGAUACCCUGGUAGUCCACGCCGUAAACGAUGAGUGCUAAGUGUUAGAGGGUUUCCGCCCUUUAGUGCUGCAGCAAACGCAUUAAGCACUCCGCCUGGGGAGUACGGCCGCAAGGCUGAAACUCAAAGGAAUUGACGGGGGCCCGCACAAGCGGUGGAGCAUGUGGUUUAAUUCGAAGCAACGCGAAGAACCUUACCAGGUCUUGACAUCCUCUGACAAUCCUAGAGAUAGGACGUUCCCCUUCGGGGGACAGAGUGACAGGUGGUGCAUGGUUGUCGUCAGCUCGUGUCGUGAGAUGUUGGGUUAAGUCCCGCAACGAGCGCAACCCUUGAUCUUAGUUGCCAGCAUUCAGUUGGGCACUCUAAGGUGACUGCCGGUGAUAAACCGGAGGAAGGUGGGGAUGACGUCAAAUCAUCAUGCCCCUUAUGACCUGGGCUACACACGUGCUACAAUGGAUGGUACAAAGGGCUGCAAGACCGCGAGGUUUAGCCAAUCCCAUAAAACCAUUCUCAGUUCGGAUUGCAGG